GACGAACGCUGGCGGCGUGCUUAACACAUGCAAGUCGAGCGGUAAGGCCCUUUCGGGGGUACGACGAGCGGCGAACGGGUGAGUAACACGUGGGUGACCUGCCUUUAGCUCUGGGAUAAGCCUGGGAAACCGGGUCUAUACCGGAUAUGACUCCGCGGCGCAUGUUGUGGGGUGGAAAGACCUUGUGCGGCUGGAGAUGGGCCCGCGGCCUAUCAGCUUGUUGGUGGGGUGAUGGCCUACCAAGGCGACGACGGGUAGCCGGCCU
rnacentral:rRNA from 1 species